UACGUAGGGGGCAAGCGUUGUCCGGAUUUAUUGGGCGUAAAGAGCGUGUAGGCGGUUUGGUAGGUCCGCUGUGAAAACUCGAGGCUCAACCUCGAGACGCCGGUGGAAACCAUCAGACUAGAGUCCGGAAGAGGAGAGUGGAAUUCCUGGUGUAGCGGUGAAAUGCGCAGAUAUCAGGAAGAACACCCGUGGCUAAGGCGGCUCUCUAGUACGGUACUGACGCUGAGGUGCGAAAGCGUGGGGAGCAAACAGG
rnacentral:rRNA from 1 species